rnacentral:rRNA from 1 species
GGUUAAGCGACUAAGCGUACACGGUGGAUGCCCUGGCAGUCAGAGGCGAUGAAGGACGUGCUAAUCUGCGAUAAGCGUCGGUAAGGUGAUAUGAACCGUUAUAACCGGCGAUUUCCGAAUGGGGAAACCCAGUGUGUUUCGACACACUAUCAUUAACUGAAUCCAUAGGUUAAUGAGGCGAACCGGGGGAACUGAAACAUCUAAGUACCCCGAGGAAAAGAAAUCAACCGAGAUUCCCCCAGUAGCGGCGAGCGAACGGGGAGGAGCCCAGAGCCUGAAUCAGUGUGUGUGUGAGUGGAAGCGUCUGGAAAGGCGCGCGAUACAGGGUGACAGCCCCGUACACAAAAAUGCACAUGCUGUGAGCUCGAUGAGUAGGGCGGGACACGUGGUAUCCUGUCUGAAUAUGGGGGGACCAUCCUCCAAGGCUAAAUACUCCUGACUGACCGAUAGUGAACCAGUACCGUGAGGGAAAGGCGAAAAGAACCCCGGCGAGGGGAGUGAAAAAGAACCUGAAACCGUGUACGUACAAGCAGUGGGAGCACAGAGCAAUCUGUGUGACUGCGUACCUUUUGUAUAAUGGGUCAGCGACUUAUAUUCUGUAGCAAGGUUAACCGAAUAGGGGAGCCGAAGGGAAACCGAGUCUUAACUGGGCGUUAAGUUGCAGGGUAUAGACCCGAAACCCGGUGAUCUAGCCAUGGGCAGGUUGAAGGUUGGGUAACACUAACUGGAGGACCGAACCGACUAAUGUUGAAAAAUUAGCGGAUGACUUGUGGCUGGGGGUGAAAGGCCAAUCAAACCGGGAGAUAGCUGGUUCUCCCCGAAAGCUAUUUAGGUAGCGCCUCGUGAAUUCAUCUCCGGGGGUAGAGCACUGUUUCGGCAAGGGGGUCAUCCCGACUUACCAACCCGAUGCAAACUGCGAAUACCGGAGAAUGUUAUCACGGGAGACACACGGCGGGUGCUAACGUCCGUCGUGAAGAGGGAAACAACCCAGACCGCCAGCUAAGGUCCCAAAGUCAUGGUUAAGUGGGAAACGAUGUGGGAAGGCCCAGACAGCCAGGAUGUUGGCUUAGAAGCAGCCAUCAUUUAAAGAAAGCGUAAUAGCUCACUGGUCGAGUCGGCCUGCGCGGAAGAUGUAACGGGGCUAAACCAUGCACCGAAGCUGCGGCAGCGACACUGUGUGUUGUUGGGUAGGGGAGCGUUCUGUAAGCCUGUGAAGGUGUGCUGUGAGGCAUGCUGGAGGUAUCAGAAGUGCGAAUGCUGACAUAAGUAACGAUAAAGCGGGUGAAAAGCCCGCUCGCCGGAAGACCAAGGGUUCCUGUCCAACGUUAAUCGGGGCAGGGUGAGUCGACCCCUAAGGCGAGGCCGAAAGGCGUAGUCGAUGGGAAACAGGUUAAUAUUCCUGUACUUGGUGUUACUGCGAAGGGGGGACGGAGAAGGCUAUGUUGGCCGGGCGACGGUUGUCCCGGUUUAAGCGUGUAGGCUGGUUUUCCAGGCAAAUCCGGAAAAUCAAGGCUGAGGCGUGAUGACGAGGCACUACGGUGCUGAAGCAACAAAUGCCCUGCUUCCAGGAAAAGCCUCUAAGCAUCAGGUAACAUCAAAUCGUACCCCAAACCGACACAGGUGGUCAGGUAGAGAAUACCAAGGCGCUUGAGAGAACUCGGGUGAAGGAACUAGGCAAAAUGGUGCCGUAACUUCGGGAGAAGGCACGCUGAUAUGUAGGUGAAGUCCCUCGCGGAUGGAGCUGAAAUCAGUCGAAGAUACCAGCUGGCUGCAACUGUUUAUUAAAAACACAGCACUGUGCAAACACGAAAGUGGACGUAUACGGUGUGACGCCUGCCCGGUGCCGGAAGGUUAAUUGAUGGGGUCAGCGCAAGCGAAGCUCUUGAUCGAAGCCCCGGUAAACGGCGGCCGUAACUAUAACGGUCCUAAGGUAGCGAAAUUCCUUGUCGGGUAAGUUCCGACCUGCACGAAUGGCGUAAUGAUGGCCAGGCUGUCUCCACCCGAGACUCAGUGAAAUUGAACUCGCUGUGAAGAUGCAGUGUACCCGCGGCAAGACGGAAAGACCCCGUGAACCUUUACUAUAGCUUGACACUGAACAUUGAGCCUUGAUGUGUAGGAUAGGUGGGAGGCUUUGAAGUGUGGACGCCAGUCUGCAUGGAGCCGACCUUGAAAUACCACCCUUUAAUGUUUGAUGUUCUAACGUGGACCCGUGAUCCGGGUUGCGGACAGUGUCUGGUGGGUAGUUUGACUGGGGCGGUCUCCUCCUAAAGAGUAACGGAGGAGCACGAAGGUUGGCUAAUCCUGGUCGGACAUCAGGAGGUUAGUGCAAUGGCAUAAGCCAGCUUGACUGCGAGCGUGACGGCGCGAGCAGGUGCGAAAGCAGGUCAUAGUGAUCCGGUGGUUCUGAAUGGAAGGGCCAUCGCUCAACGGAUAAAAGGUACUCCGGGGAUAACAGGCUGAUACCGCCCAAGAGUUCAUAUCGACGGCGGUGUUUGGCACCUCGAUGUCGGCUCAUCACAUCCUGGGGCUGAAGUAGGUCCCAAGGGUAUGGCUGUUCGCCAUUUAAAGUGGUACGCGAGCUGGGUUUAGAACGUCGUGAGACAGUUCGGUCCCUAUCUGCCGUGGGCGCUGGAGAACUGAGGGGGGCUGCUCCUAGUACGAGAGGACCGGAGUGGACGCAUCACUGGUGUUCGGGUUGUCAUGCCAAUGGCACUGCCCGGUAGCUAAAUGCGGAAGAGAUAAGUGCUGAAAGCAUCUAAGCACGAAACUUGCCCCGAGAUGAGUUCUCCCUGACCCUUUAAGGGUCCUGAAGGAACGUUGAAGACGACGACGUUGAUAGGCCGGGUGUGUAAGCGCAGCGAUGCGUUGAGCUAACCGGUACUAAUGAACCGUGAGGCUUAACCUU